rnacentral:rRNA from 1 species
CCUCCGGGGGGCAGCAGUGGGGGAUAUUGCACAAUGGGGGGAACCCUGAUGCAGCGACGCCGCGUGGGUGAAGUCGCUUUUCGGCGCGUCCCGCCCUCUCUUCCUUUCCGCCGCUGCCGGUCCCUGCCCCCACCGCCCCGGCUACAUACGUGGCAGCCGCCGCGGUCCUCCGUCGGGGGCCCGCGUUCUCCGGCUUUCCUGGGUGUCCCGGGGGCGCCGCCGGCCCUGCCCGCCCG